GAUGAACGCUGGCGGCGUGCCUAAUACAUGCAAGUCGAGCGAACAGACGAGGAGCUUGCUCCUCUGACGUUAGCGGCGGACGGGUGAGUAACACGUGGAUAACCUACCUAUAAGACUGGGAUAACUUCGGGAAACCGGAGCUAAUACGGGAGAAUAUAUUGAACCGCAGGGUGCAAUAGUGAAAGACGGUUUUGCUGUCACUUAUAGAUGGAUCCGCGCCGCAUUAGCUAGUUGGGCAGGUAACGGGUUACCAAGGCAACGAGGCGUAGCCGACCUGAGAGGGUGGUUGGCCCCCCUGGAACUGAGACACGCUCCAGACUCCUACGGGAGGCAGCAGUAGGGAAUCUUCCGCAAUGGGCGAAAGCCUGACGGAGCAACGCCGCGUGAGUGAUGACGGUCUUCGGAUCGUAAAACUCUGUUAUUAGGGAAGAACAAAUGUGUAAGUAACUAUGCCCGUCUUGACGGUACCUAAUCAGAAAGCCACGGCUAACUACGUG
rnacentral:rRNA from 1 species